UCGCAGUGCCAUCCAUUUUGUCACCAAAGCCCCAUUUCCUACCCACCACUGCGACCUGUACGCUCUCGUUGGCUGGCCCUCACUUCAUACUCGUCGACAAACCCACUGGCUCCAGGUCAUCUACAAGACCCUGCUAGGUAAAGUCCCGCCUUAUCUCAGCUCGCUGGUCACCAUAGCAGCACUCACCCGUAGCACACGCUCCAGCAGGUAUAUCUCACUGGUCAUCCCCAAAGCCAAUUCCUCCUUUAGCCACCUCUCCUUCCAGUUCUCUGCUGCCAAUGACUGGAACGAACUACAAAAAUCUCUGAAACUGGAGACACUUAUCUCCCUCACUAGCUUUAAGCACCAGCUGUCAGAGCAGCUCACAGAUCACUGCACCUGUACAUAGCCCAUCUAUAAAUAGCCCAAACAACUACCCCAUCCCCUACUGUAUUUAUUUAUGUUGCUCCUUUGCACCCCAGUAUUUCUACUUUGCACAUUCAUCUACUGCAAAUCUACCAUUCCAGUGUUUUUAAUUGCUACAUUGUAUUUACUUCGCCACCAUGGCCUAUUUAUUGCCCUUCUACCUCCCUUAUCUCACCUAAUUUGCUCACAUUGUAUAUAUACUUGUUUUUCUACUGUAUUAUUGACUAUGUUUGUUUACUCCAUGUGUAACUCUGUGUUGUAUGUGUUGAACUGCUUUGCUUUAUCUUGGCCAGGUCGCAGUUGUAAAUGAGAACUUGUUCUCAACUUGCCUACUUGGUUAAAUAAAGGUGAAAUAAAAAAAUAAAUAUCAACUGAGCUACGAAGAAGCACGUCGACGUCAUUAGAAUGAUGACAAGCAAUUUUAACGGAUUCUAAAGGGAAUCAUAGAAUUCCAAACUCAUUUCUAUGGCAACACAGUUGUCAAUUUUGUAAACAAUCAUUUUCGAACGUGUGUUGCCAAGAGACAUCUAACCGACGUUCUAUGGAACGUUUUCUGUGCGACAACAACUUCAGUUUGCUGCCGACAACAAACUUGUUUGAUUUUUGACACCUGAGAUAGAACAAUCAACUGGAAAAUGCCUGGGUGCUUUUCAAGACUAGCGGAGAGAGUGCGUGGACGUCGGCGGCCUAAUACGUCGACAGGUUGUUCAAAUUCAUUUGUGGCUUGUUUUUCUUGUCUUUUUCUGUUUUGCAGGGUUCGUGAUUGUCGACAGGUGGACAGCGACUUCGAAGAGGAAACAACUGUCCUGGAUGAGAUCCAGUUGGAUGUGCCAUUGGAUGAUGUGCCAGAUGUUCCACAGCUGCCAGUCCUCCUUGAUGUCCAGAAUGCUGCUAUUAUCCUUGAGGAUGUGCCAGAUGUGCAGACUAUCCUUGAGGAGGCCACUGGCAAUUGGCAGUUGAUUCCGAUUAGCUUCAGCCCCCUGUACUGUGGGCCUGUUGUGAUCAGGAACAAUGCCAGUCCGGUGGUUAAAGCUUGGAGAACUUUCCAGUUCAUCAGCCCCAUCAUCACCUACAUGCGUGGGGGAUCCCAGCAGGUGGUGGUGAGGAUGCACCACGUUAGUAGGGUGAGAGGCCUGGAGACUCAACUGGUGUGGGCCAUCUCCAAGGAGACAGCCAGGCUUAGUCCAAAGGGCAUCCCCUACUGUGCCACCAAAGUGCAGUCCAUCACUUGGAUCCAGCGUGUGGCUGGCAGGGUGACCCACUAUGUGUCUCACCUCCGCCACGAGACGUCUGUGGACGUGACGCUUGGCUGCUACCAGCAGACUGAUGUCUCAGUGGUGUACGCCACUCUCCACAUGGGGCUGGACGGGCUUCUCUCCUCUUCAGCGUGGUCGGAGGCUGCCUCCUUCUCUACGCCCACCACUCAGCAGUUCACUGACCCAGAGCCUGAGGGCCACGACUGCUAUAAGGGCUGGGAGGAGGACGUGCUGCCUGAGGAGAGGGAGGUUCCUCUGCUAAACCUCUACCUUACCAGCAAGAGAGUGGAGGACAUCGCCCUGAGGCUUGUCUCCCUGCGCCAGGCUUUCACUACCCUGCUUGGUUCCACCCUGAGCAGGAACCAUCUGUUUGUGGCGGGAAAGGUCCUCCUGGGCGCACUGGUUCAGGCCAACCACAUGGACGGGGCCAACUUCAUCCGUACUUAUAACGACUUUGUGGACUACCUGAGUGACCCCUCCAAGCGGAAUGACAUUGAGAGGGAGCUGGCUGAGGCAAACAUCCAUCAUGUGAACAUGAUAGAUGUCAUUUUUUUAUUUAUUUUUUAUUUUUAAUUUUAGCCCCUUUUCUCCACAAUUUUCGUGGUAUCCAAUCGCUAGUAAUUACUAUCUUGUCUCAUCGCUACAACUCCCGUACGGGCUCGGGAGAGACGAAGGUCGAAAGCCAUGCGUCCUCCGAGGCACAACCCAACCAAGCCGCACUGCUUCUUUAACACAGCGCGCCUCCAACCCGGAAGCCAGCCACACCAAUGUGUCGGAGGAAACACCGUGCACCUGGCCCCCUUGGCUAGCGCGCACUGCGCCCAGCCCGCCACAGGAGUCGCUGGAGCGCGAUGAGACAAGGAAAUCCCUACCGGCCAAACCCUCCCUAUCCCGGACGACGCUAGCCCAAUUGUGCGUCGCCCCACGGACCUCCCGGUCGCGGCCGGCUGCGACAGAGCCUGGGGGCGAACCCAGAGACUCUGGUGGCGCAGUUAGCACUGCGAUGCAGUGCCCUAGACCACUGCGCCACCCGGGAGGCCCAGAUGUCGUUUUUGAGCUGGUGCUGUUUGGGAUGAUGACAGCUCAGAAGUCCCUGAUGGUGCACCCCGGUGGGUUUGUGGAGCGUCUGUACGCUCUCCUGUACUCCUUCCUGCCCACUGCUGCCAACAUGGAGCCAGAGGCUGACAGAUACC